GAUUGUUAUCCAGAUGUAGCAUAACUGAUAAAGACAGUGUUUUAAUAUUCCUCACCUUGCAGUGUGCAUUACAACACAUCAGAAAGAGAAGCAGAUCAGGAUGCCUGCUAUCCAAAUGUAAUUUCCUGUGUUGUUUCUAUUUUGAGACCAUGUUUAUAAUUUCCAAAGAAAUUUGAAUCAUUUCAAAGUUCCGUUGUGGAAAAGCAAGGGGACCCACUUUGGCUUCAAAUGGCUCACAUCUGGCAGGGGCUCCCCAUCAGUUCAGCAGAGAAUAAGAUGCAUGUCUCAAACAAAAGCCCUGGCACACUCUUUUAGGUUCACACAAGAGUCAUGCCUGACGGUGUAGAGAGACAUCUUAUGAAGACAUCUGUGCCUACAAGAAGGUAGUGUACAUGCAUGCAAAUACACACAUGGACAUGCUCGAGAAUACAUGGGCUGCAGUCCUGCUUAUCCUUGCCCAGGUGAAAAAAAAGUGCACUAAAAUACAUUUUAUUACACUUCCAUAAUGUACUUAAAGUGCUCUAUUUUCGACACACUUAUUUUGCACUUAAUAUACUAAAAGCUUACCUUUAGUACUGCUUAAUAUAAACUUAAGAUCAUCUUAGUGUACUCAAUUGUGCUUUUUUGAGACACACUGAAGAUAAACUAAAGUGUAUUUUUAAUAUACUAUUUCAUAUUUUCAACAAAUGUAUUUCGUUACCAGUUUUAGUAUAAUUGAAACCAUCUUUAAAUACAAUAAUAAACUAUUUAAAUGAUAAUAAUAAUAAUAUGUAAUUAUAUACAAAUUAUAUUUAUAAUGUAUUCCUAGAUUAAAAAAGUACACUAAAAUACAUUUUAUUUAAGUGCACUUAAUACACUUCCAUAAUGUAUUUAAAGUGCUCUAUUUUCACGCACUUUAUACUCAACUGUGCUACUUUAGUACUUCUUAAUAUAAACUUAAGAUCAUCUUAGUGUACUCAAUGUGCUAUUUUGAGACACACUGAAGAUGAACUUAAAUAUGCUUUUAACAUACUAUUUCAGCUUUAAUUUUAUCUUUAGAUUAAAUCUUUAAUACAUUUUUAAAUACACUUAUAAAUUAUUUAAAAUAUAAGAAUAUAUCAACUGUGCUAUUUUUAUACAAACUUAAGAUGAACUUAAAACAUGAUUUUAAAAUAUUAUUUCAGCUUUAUUUUUUUUCCCCCUUAGAGCAAUAGAACCCAUCUUUAAAACAUUUU
ensembl:lncRNA